GAUGAAGAACGCAGCGAAAUGCGAUACUUGGUGUGAAUUGCAGAAUCCCGUGAACCAUCGAGUCUUUGAACGCAAGUUGCGCCCGAAGCCAUUAGGCCGAGGGCACGCCUGCCUGGGCGUCACACGUCGUUGCCCCCCCCAUCUACUCCUUCGGGAUUGCGGGGGGUGGAUGAUGGCCUCCCGUGUGCCUCGCCGCGCGGUUGGCAUAAAUACCAAGUCCUCGGCGACGCACGCCACGACAAUCGGUGGUUGCGAAACCUCGGUUGCCCGUCGUGUGCGGUCGUCGCGCAUCGAGGGCUCGAAAAAAUUGCCGGGUUCCGGCUCGGCUUUCAACGCGACCCCAGGUCAGGCGGGGUUACCCGCUGAAUUUAAGCAUAUCAAUAAGCGGAGGA
rnacentral:misc_RNA from 1 species